CUUGGUCAUUUAGAGGAAGUAAAAGUCGUACAAGGUUUCCGUAGGUGAACCUGCGGAAGGAUCAUUAAAGGUUUCGGGUCCCAGUGCCCAAACUUCAACCCUAUGUUUUAACUAUACAUGUUUCUUUGCGGUUUCGGCCGGCAGAAGUUUUCUCAAACUCAUUAUUAAUGUGUCUUCGAAUCAAAAUUAAAUAAAUUAAAACUUUCAACAACGGAUCUCUUGGUUCGGCAUCGAUGAAGAACGCAGCGAAAUGCGAUAAGUAAUGUGAAUUGCAGAUUCAGUGAAUCAUCGAAUCUUUGAACGCAUAUUGCGCCCUUUGGCAUUCGAAGGGCAUACCUGUUCGAGCGUCAUUACACCCCUCAAAGAUAACUCUUGGUGUUGGGCAAUGCCUAAAGGCAUGCCUCAAAAUCAGCGAUGGUGAUUUCAACCACGGGCGCACACACGUCGUCUAGCUGGCGGGAUGUUGACAGUAAUUGAUGAAUUUCUAAAUGUUGACCUCGGAUCAGGUAGGAAUACCCGCGAACUUAAGCAUAUCAAUAAGCGGAGGAA
rnacentral:rRNA from 1 species